rnacentral:rRNA from 1 species
UGUUUCGGCAAGGGGGUCAUCCCGACUUACCAACCCGAUGCAAACUGCGAAUACCGGAGAAUGUUAUCACGGGAGACACACGGCGGGUGCUAACGUCCGUCGUGAAGAGGGAAACAACCCAGACCGCCAGCUAAGGUCCCAAAGUCAUGGUUAAGUGGGAAACGAUGUGGGAAGGCCCAGACAGCCAGGAUGUUGGCUUAGAAGCAGCCAUCAUUUAAAGAAAGCGUAAUAGCUCACUGGUCGAGUCGGCCUGCGCGGAAGAUGUAACGGGGCUAAACCAUGCACCGAAGCUGCGGCAGCGACGCUGAUGCGUUGUUGGGUAGGGGAGCGUUCUGUAAGCCUGCGAAGGUGUGCUGUGAGGCAUGCUGGAGGUAUCAGAAGUGCGAAUGCUGACAUAAGUAACGAUAAAGCGGGUGAAAAGCCCGCUCGCCGGAAGACCAAGGGUUCCUGUCCAACGUUAAUCGGGGCAGGGUGAGUCGACCCCUAAGGCGAGGCCGAAAGGCGUAGUCGAUGGGAAACAGGUUAAUAUUCCUGUACUUGGUGUUACUGCGAAGGGGGGACGGAGAAGGCUAUGUUGGCCGGGCGACGGUUGUCCCGGUUUAAGCGUGUAGGCUGGUUUUCCAGGCAAAUCCGGAAAAUCAAGGCUGAGGCGUGAUGACGAGGCACUACGGUGCUGAAGCAACAAAUGCCCUGCUUCCAGGAAAAGCCUCUAAGCAUCAGGUAACAUCAAAUCGUACCCCAAACCGACACAGGUGGUCAGGUAGAGAAUACCAAGGCGCUUGAGAGAACUCGGGUGAAGGAACUAGGCAAAAUGG